UACAGGGGGGGCAAGCGUUGUUCGGAAUUACUGGGCGUAAAGGGCGCGUAGGCGGCCUGCUAAGUCGAACGUGAAAUCCCCGGGCUCAACCCGGGAACUGCGUCCGAUACUGGCAGGCUUGAAUCCGGGAGAGGGAUGUGGAAUUCCAGGUGUAGCGGUGAAAUGCGUAGAUAUCUGGAGGAACACCGGUGGCGAAGGCGGCAUUCUGGACCAACACUGACGCUGAGGAGCGAAAGCCAGGGGAGCAAACGGG
rnacentral:rRNA from 1 species